rnacentral:rRNA from 1 species
CAGCCACGGUAAUACGAAGGGGGCUAGCGUUGGUUGGAAUUACUGGGCGUAAAGCGCACGUAGGCGGACAUUUAAGUCAGGGGUGAAAUCCCGGGGCUCAACCCCGGAACUGCCUUUGAUACUGGGUGUCUAGAGUAUGGAAGAGGUGAGUGGAAUUCCGAGUGUAGAGGUGAAAUUCGUAGAUAUUCGGAGGAACACCAGUGGCGAAGGCGGCUCACUGGUCCAUUACUGACGCUGAGGUGCGAAAGCGUGGGGAGCAAACAGGAUUAGAUACCCCCGUAGUCCCUGUCUCUUAUACACA